GAAGUCACCCCUUAUUGGAUUAUGGAGAAAUUAAGAGAGUUCCAGAAAAAAAACCCAUUUAUUUCUGCUGAAUUGAAUACACUAAAGCUAUGACUGUAUGAAUCACAACAAAAUAUGGCAGUUUCUCAAAGAGAUUGGAGUACCAGAUCAUGUUGCUUAUCUCCUGAGGACUUGUAUAUGGAACAAGAAGUAACGAUGGACCUGGAAUAACUUGUUGGUUUAAGAUUGGGAAAGGAGUAUGACAAGGCUGUACAUUGUCAUCCUAUUUUUUAAACCCUUACCUUACAUCUUAGAAUCAAUACUGUGUAUUGGUUCCUGGAAGAAGAGUGGGAAGGGCUAGGCGAUGGGGGUGAAGUGACUUGCCCAGUGUCACACAGUUAUGAAGUAUCUGACUCUACAUUUGAACCCAGAACCUCCCAUCUCUAGGCUUGGCUCUCAAUCCACUGAGCUACCUAGCUGUUCCCAGACAUCAUAUUUUUUAAACUUAUUUUCAGAAUGUAUUAUGCAAAAUGCCAAUAUGGACAAAUCAAAAGCUGGAAUUAAUGUUGCUAAGAGAAAUAUCAAUCAUCUUAUAUAUGCAGAUGACAAUACUCAUGGCAGAAUGAAGAAGUGUCAAGAAGUCUUUUGAUGGGUGUGGAAGAGAAGAGUUUAAAUGCUUGCUUGAAGUUUAAAUAAAAAAACCCCAACAACCUAAAAUCAUGUCAGCUUUUCCCAUCACUAGCAAAUAGAGGGGGAAGAAAUGGAAACAGUGUCAGAUUUUAUUCUUGGGAUCAAAGAUCACUGUAGACAGUGACUGGUCAUGAAAUUAAAAGAAGCUCAUGGGAAGGAAAACUGGCAAAUUUGGAGAGUAUACUAAGAAGCAGAGACAUCAUCUUACCAACAAAGGUUUACACAUAGUUCAAAUACUGAAUCUGAAGCUUAAAUACUUUGGCGACAUAAUGAGAAGUCAGGAUUAUUAAUAAAAGCCCCUGAUGUUGGGAGAUGGCAAAAAGGGAAGAGAAAAAAAGGACAGUGCCAUGGAAGCAAUGAACAAGAGAUUAGACAGAAUUCAGGAGAUAGUGGAGGAGGACAUGAUACCACAAAUAAUAGCUUACAACUCACCUCUAUCAGAUCAUUCUGUACUUAAAUGGAAAUCAUCUGGACCAAGUGAUGAUAAUAAUUAUCAAGGACAGAGAUUCUAUUUGAAGGAGGGAUGUUGUAGCCUCUACUCAAGCCCAUGUCGCAAUGCCAACAGUUGGAGAGCCAUUAGUAAAAUUCAAGGCAUCUGUGAACAUCCUCCUGAGAGUCAGAAAGGCACCUAAGAGAAGAGUGAGUCAUGAGCCUCUGAAGGAAAUCCAGGUGUUAGAGUAAAUAUAAGGUUCUCUGCUCUGGGCUGAUGGUGAUUUGGAAGUGAAGACAUAG
ensembl:lncRNA